AUUGAACGCUGGCGGCAGGCCUAACACAUGCAAGUCGAACGAGUGGCGGACGGGUGAGUAAUGUCUGGGAAACUGCCUGAUGGAGGGGGAUAACUACUGGAAACGGUAGCUAAUACCGCAUACCAUCGGAUGUGCCCAGAUGGGAUUAGCUAGUAGGUGGGGUAAAGGCGCACCUAGGCGACGAUCCCUAGCUGGUCUGAGAGGAUGACCCGCCAAACUGGAAAUGAGACACGGUCCAGACACCUACGGGAGGCAGAAGUGGGGAGUAUUGCACAAUGGGCGCAAGCCUGAUGCAGCCAGGGCGCGUGUAUGAAGAAGGCCUUCGGGUUGUAAAUUACUUUCAGCGGGGAGGCGUUACCCGCAGAAGAAGCACCGGCUAACUCCGUGCCAGCAGCCGCGGUAAUUC
rnacentral:rRNA from 1 species